ensembl:lincRNA I830134H01Rik RIKEN cDNA I830134H01 gene
GAGUGUGGGCGUGGUGGAGGCGGAGCCAAGGACAGAUUCGGAGGACCAGUUCAAUCUGGGCCUGCUUGCUUUUCUCUGUGGGUUCGGACCCUGCUGUUCUCCAUAGGACAAGUUCUGUGACCCUCGCCUGGGACUGACUGGUCUGUGUUCUUUGGGAACCAAUUUCUCUCUGAGAGGUGGAGCACAACCUCCUAGUCUUCCAGGCGGGCCACUCAUUUACCCUGUCAAACUCAGGGGCGGAGCAAUGGGGAACGAAGCUGUAGGGAGCUGAUAAACUCCCAGUUUGAAAACUGAGAUUGUGAGCCCCAGCGGCGACUCCAGAUUGCUGCCCUACAGGCAGAUAUGUCUUUAUUGGUCUUUAUCGGUCACAUCGGGGUCUUGAUUAGCGUCUUGAGAACUUAAUUGUUUGCUUAUGGCGUGUCGUUCUUAGACCUAGCCUAAGCAUACCAGAAGUUUACAACGAAAAAACUCAGUAGCAAAGCAUUCUACGAAGGUAGCGUAUGUAGUACAAGGGUUUAAAAUCCUGAAUGCCUCUUAAUUGAUGUGUGGCCUUCAGAACAUCUCACUUCCUUGAGCCUCAGUUUCCUGAUUUAUACGAGGAUGCAGAUAACCAUCAGGUAGUGUGGCUGCGAGGACUAGAGUUUAACAAAUGUAGUUAGGCACUGUUAAAUAAAAGACAACAAAUCCAUUUGUUACUGAAUCUAGUGGAUGAGAAACCAUGUAAGGAAUUUCAGUUUUGUUUUGUUUUGUUUAAAGCAGGAAGAUGGCAGGCAAUCCAAGAUACUCGAAUUCUCUACUUACACAUUCCUCCCGCCUGAAGUAUGAAGGGAGAAGCAGAUGGAGAAAAGAAUAGUCUUAUUAACCACAAGGUGGCACACUAGAAGGCAGCAAGCAGACUUUUGCCUUUCAGUGUCCAUCUUGCCCUUUUGCCCCGUUUUUCAAGGGCCCCAAACAGGUGGAGUCCUCGGUGACCCCCCUGUUCCAAAGAGCAGCCUGUUCUGGUGUGCUGGCUCUGCACAUCUUACCUUCUUUAUGUAGAGCAGUGAGGUGUUCAGUUCAACACUUUUGUAUUGAUUAAAAUUAAAAUGUCUGGUCAUUGCUGAGGUCAGCUUUUCUGGCAAGCAUCAACUCCAGCAAAUUGACCUCUGAUAACCUGAGACAAGGGAGGGAGGGGAGGGACUAUGCUUUUAGCUAACUUCAAUGAGCAGGUGUUCGACAAAAGGUAAAUUUCAGUGGGCAGCUAAUUCUGGAGAGUGCAGUAUGGAAUAAGCAGAAAUGGGGGGUAUUGUGCAUGUUUUUAUUCCCAGGAAGCAGUUUUGGCUUUCUUCUUAUUUGUGUGUUAAAGUGUCAUAUGAGAGUGAUUAGGGGUGGGAGAAAGUUUGUCAAAAUGAGGUCAGGAUGUGAAUAUUCACUGUCCAGACUGAAGCAAAAUUGGAAUCAAGUAGGGGGAUCUUAUAUACAUGCAUGCUCUCGAACACACACACACACCAGGGGCAGGGGAGGGUUCCUUAAAUAGUAGAGCAUAGAGGAAGGGUAGGGAAGGACACUGCAGUUCUACAUCUGCCCUCCAGAACCUCGGUUCUUUUGGAAGCUGCAAUGAAUAAGGACUAGUAAGGGAGAGGCAUAGCCAGGAGGUUCACUGGGAGGCUUGGGUUAUUUGUAAAAGCCAAUGUUGGAUCUAGACAUCAGUGUUUGCUCUUUAUGGACAGGCACAGUCGUGAAGCUUCAAGCUGCUAGCUGUUUCUAUAGCAUCUCAAGGAGAUCUCAUUGUCCAGGUGAUACUGACAGUUCACUCAGGGAUAUUCUAGGGUAAGGAUUCAAGACUCGUCUUUAUUCAUGUAAGGAGAAAAACGGGAAUGUCUUUAUCUUAGCAGGAAAGCUCAUUUUCUUCUUAGGAAACAGUAUCAAUGGUUUUUAGACUUACUAAUUGGAAACCAGGAGGCUGGUGUGAUCAGAAGAGUUCUAGCUUCCAAGGGGCCUUUCAUGAGUCCACAGGACCCUGCCUGCUAAUAGACCUGCACGUCUGACAGAACAUUCUGCCAUGACAGAAAACUUCCUGUGUUCUGUCCAGUAUGGCAGCGCUGGCCACAUUUGACUGAUGACUGCUUGAACUGUGGCUGCUGUGAGCAAGAAACUGAGCUCUAAGUUGUACUUAAUUUUGCUUUUGAACAGACAGCUAAUUCUGUUAGUAGAAAAACUAUAAGUAUAUUUGAAAACCUUGGGUAGAGGAGCUGGUGAGAGGGUUCAGUUAGUAAAGGCUCAGGCCACCAAGUCUGACUAUCUGAGUUUGACUCUCAGGAUCUGCAUAGUAGAAAAGAGUACUGACUCCUUAAGUUGUCCCUUAAAACACACACAUGCACACACACACACACACACACACACACACACUGAAUAAAUGUGAUUUAAAAGGCAUACACAUAUCUUUUGGGUCCUAAUUACUGCAACAUCUAAAUAUAGAUCAAACACUUCUGAUGAAGACCUUGUGUUCAAGUUGAGAUCUAAUAUGUUUUGUAUUCUUACAUAUUAAAAAGCAUAAUAUUCUGGAUUGACUAGCUAAAAUAAAACAUGGAAAUCCGUCUUACCUAGUAUGCUUAUUUUUAAAGGAAAAUCCAAAAUGGUGAAUGUGACUCAUGUUACAUUCCUACAGAACAGCACUGGUAUGCAUAUAAUAAAGGAUAUUAUUUAU